GAUUGUUCCCGGAUGAGGAAAGGUGAAGACGAUGACUGGUAUUUGAUACUCUGAGACUUAUUCUUGCACAAAAAGAAAAGGGCAACUAUAGUAACAGAUCCAGAAAGACUCUUAUUUGCUGAUUGAGAUAGUACGGGUUUGAAUGACACUAAUCGACGGUAUAUAUACUUAUUAUAAUUUUAUUCUAUCAAUAGAACUAUAUAUCCACUUAAAAAGGUAAAAGUAAGAAAAAACAAAAGUCAAAACAAAAUGCACACAAUAUGAUAAAAAAAUAUAUCUAAAGACUGGGUAACAGAACUAACUUCAACCUCCACACCAAAACCAACAAAACAACAACAAAAAAACAAAACAAAAAUACGAUGAUAAACCAAAGUGCACUUUACGGCAGAAGGCACAUGUUGCAUUUUUCGAGUUUUUCCCCUUCCAAACAAAGAUGAACCCUGAUU
rnacentral:lncRNA from 1 species